GGAUGCCAUUUGUACAGAGCUGUCAUGUCAUAAUGUCAUAUCAAAAUAUCUAAGAGUACUCUGGAAAUACAGAUUCCCAAGUUGUUUUUGUGGGUGCCAAAAGGACUGCUGGGCAUGUUCAAAGCAAUGUAUGGAAAGAGACUGCCACCUCAGAGGAACCAAAGACUGGAGUGAUUAUCAUCGCAGAGGAUGAAAGUGUAUUCCAGUGUCUACCUCAUUCAUUUCCUAAAGUGAAUCACCCAGGCCUUGGCUGUUCUAAUAUCUGGAAUUCUCUUUCUACUACAAGUAUAUCUGUCAACACAGAAUGUUACCCACUUACUCCCUAUGUUUUCUGAUCACAUAGAAUCUGAGAGGGGAAAUAAAACUUAUAAAUUGUUGAAUCCAAGAUUACAAACUCCAUUGUCUUAAAGGGCUAAGCUGUGGUGACAGGUGCAGCAGGCCAGGCAUAAGUAAUAGGGAGCAGGGGAGACUGUGGGAAACUGAAGGGCAGUUGUCUUAUAACAGGAUGAAAUUCUAAUCUUUUACAAUAUAUUUCAAGGCAAACAAAGCAACACUCUGGGCUGGGAGUCCAUCCAUGAACUACCAACUUUUAGCCCCAAAUUAUGAAUACCUUCCUUAUUUAUAGAUGAGGAAAUUGAGACUGAGAGUAGGGAUAUGACAUAAGUUAAGGCAGAAAUUGGCUUCUGGCUUAAUUGAAGCAUUUAGAUGGGUUGCGAGUGAUAACAUUAAAAUGAUGAUUGCAAAAAGCUUUAUUUCUUACUGUAAUGUCAAUAUAAUAUUG
rnacentral:antisense_RNA from 1 species